UCGAGAAUUUUUGACAAUGGGGGAAACCCUGAUCGAGCGACGCCGCGUGGAGGAUGAAGGUCUUCGGGUUGUAAACUCCUGUCAUUUGGGAACAAUGCUAUUCGGUUAACUGCCGAGUAGUUGAUAGUACCAGAAGAGGAAGAGACGGCUAACUCUGUGCCAGCAGCCGCGGUAAUACAGAGGUCUCAAGCGUUGUUCGGAUUCAUUGGGCGUAAAGGGUGCGUAGGCGGCGCGGUAAGUCGGGUGUGAAAUUUCGGAGCUUAACUCCGAAACUGCAUUCGAUACUGCCGUGCUUGAGGACUGGAGAGGAGACUGGAAUUUACGGUGUAGCAGUGAAAUGCGUAGAGAUCGUAAGGAAGACCAGUGGCGAAGGCGGGUCUCUGGACAGUUCCUGACGCUGAGGCACGAAGGCCAGGGGAGCAAACGG
rnacentral:rRNA from 1 species